rnacentral:tRNA from 1 species
CAAGACGUAGCUUUAAUUUAAAGCAUUCAGCUUACACCUGAAAGAUACUCACUAACCAUGGGUCGUCUUGA